UGUACGAUUUUAUUAUAUUUUUAACAAUGAAAAACACAAUCACUCCAUUACUUAGUCAUCUUUUUGUGCCGUCUGUUAUUUUUUUUAUUAUAAGGAAGUAUUUCUCUCUUGCGACACAGAGUUUCUCUGUAAUAGAGGGUGGAAACUUUACUGGCGGAACGCAUCGCUAUUUCUCUUGUGGGAUCGUCACAUCAAUGAAUAGCUUGUUUGCACAUGACAUCACUUCAAUGUGUUCCUGUGUUGUGAAAUGAAGAUGGGGGCAGGAAGUGAUUUUCUACAUAGGAACCACUAUCACAAACUCAAAAAAGCAGAUGUUUUGCAUCAUUUCUUAAAUUGCUUAAAUUGCUCAAACCACAAGGAGCUUUUAUCAUGUAACAAAAGUUGUUGUUCAUAAUGCAGUUCUGUCUAAUACAGAUUAGAAGUCUGUCUAAUAAUCACAUAGAACUGUAAAAUAAAGGAAUUAAAAUGUAUGAAAAGAAAUGUUAACCAUUGCUUUUAUAUUAUUAGUAAUAGAAAGGCAAACAGUAUAAUACUUUCUCAGUUUUUUGAGGUUUUUACAGACCCAAAGAAUCAUCUCCUGAGCCACUGCACAAAGGAACACAAUGUAACCAACACAAGAAAUCAGUGCAAAUAGUUUUAAAGUUCAAAUAGUUUUCAGUCAAUCUUUAAAUCACUCAUUAGGUUUUGUAAAAAUGAGCAAGUCUGCAUUUGUUAGGAGGAUGACAAGACCUCUCUUCACUGAUGACGUCCUGGGCUGUUUAGUGCAUUUUCAUUUAAAAAUGCAAAGCUUGGACGGAAUCAUCAUUUCUAUUCACUUUCUCUAUUCACUUGCUGCGGCCCAAUGUGCCUACUUAUACUACGUCCUUAAAGUAUGUACUUUUUUAGGUGAAGAAAAAGUACACCUGUUAAGUGUGUAGUAGAAGAGUAGGCAAGCUUUGGGACAUACUAUAAUGUCAUAUACAGUUGCGUCUUUAACGGACUGCUCUGUCGCAUAGUUACACGCACCCACCCUGUCACUGUAAAAGAAAAAGUUUAAGACCCAAAGUCUAAAAGGGUAUUAAGAUAUCUUUAAUACUACAGGCGUGCAGACUUUGGAGAAAAAAAAAAAA